rnacentral:rRNA from 1 species
CAAUAGCGUAUAUUAAAGUUGUUGCAGUUAAAAAGCUCGUAGUUGGAUUUGUGGCGUACGGUGUGUUCCGGGCACUUGUUGUCUGAGUAACCUGCUGUUGCCAUCCUUGGGUGGAACCUGUGUGGCAUUAGGUUGUCGUGCAGGGGAUGCCCAUCAUUUACUGUGAAAAAAUUAGAGUGUUCAAAGCAGGCUUAUGCCGUUGAAUAUAUUAGCACGGAAUAAUGAGAUAGGACUUUUUUGCUAUUUUGUUGGUUUGCGCAAAGAGGUAAUGAUUAAUAGGGACAGUUGGGGGUAUUCGUAUUCCAUUGUCAGAGGUGAAAUUCUUGGAUUUUUGGAAGACGAACUACUGCGAAAGCAUUUACCAAGGAUGUUUUCAUUAA